UACGUAGGGGGCAAGCGUUGUCCGGAAUCAUUGGGCGUAAAGCGCGUGUAGGCGGUUCGGUAAGUCUGCUGUGAAAGUCCAGGGCUCAACCCUGGGAUGCCGGUGGAUACUGUCGGACUAGAGUGCGGAAGAGGCGAGUGGAAUUCCCGGUGUAGAGGUGAAAUUCGUAGAUAUCGGGAGGAACACCAGUGGCGAAGGCGACUUCCUGGCCUGUUCUUGACGCUGAGGCGCGAAAGCUAGGGUAGCAAACGGG
rnacentral:rRNA from 1 species